AUGAUAUCUAUGCUGUCAUCUACUUUCGGCCACCAUUGCCAGGCCCAGCAAAGCACCAAACAAGACAAGCAGCAGCACGCCGGCGUCACCUUUCGGCGAUGCUGCUGUUCCCGGGACGUAGCACGAGCUGCUCUGCUGCUGCACCUGCUGCGUGUUCCCCGGCACGGUGCUCGUCGGCACACAGUACCCUGCCGGCGUCGCCCCCCUCCCGGCCUGCGGCGCAGCCUGCAAAAUAGUAGAAGAGCGUCAGCGCCGUCCAUUCCAUUGAACAAAAGCCGCAGGCUAGGCCGAGGCGAGCACCUGCGCCGGAGUUGCGGUGACGCCGAUCUGGCCGGACGUGCUGGGGCUGGCGCUGCCUUUGGCGAGACCGAUGUCGUAGUUGGCCGUGAGGUCGGCCUGGUACAGCCCGAACGACCGCUCCGACACGGGCCCGGGCUUGAGGUCCUCGUCGUAGAGCGCGAAGAGGUACGUGUCCACCGACCUGCCGGGCGUCCGCGGCGUGCCCACCUGCGACCUGAGGUGCGCCACGAGGUUGCCGUUGUACGCCCUGGCGUUGUCCGGCGUGGCGCCGGCCUCGUCGGCGUCCCCCCUGUACGGCCACCCGGUCUCGGCGAUGACGAUGUCCACGCCCGCGUACCCCUUGCCGUCCAGCGCCGCCCGGACGGCAUCCAGCUGCGCGUCGAACAUGUUCAUGUAGUUCAGCCCCGACCCGGCGUCCACGCGGCCCGGGUUGGGCUGGAACAGGCAGAAGGCCAGCGUCUCGUCCCGCGUGUCCGACGCGUACGCGAAAUACGGGUACGGGUUGAUCAUGAACGGCGAGCCGUUCUGCCGCAGGAAAUCCAGCACCGGGUCCAGGCUGCCGGCGAGGUCCAUGUGGAACGCGCCGGAGGACGGCGGGUCCGACGCCGCCAGCACCGCCAUCGAAUGCACCGUCGAGAUCUGUUCUUCGGCCAAUGCAAAUAUAAUCUCGUUCAAGAUUCAAGGACCACCGUUUUAGCUAGGCAGUAA
rnacentral:rRNA from 1 species